rnacentral:rRNA from 1 species
GACGAACCGAGCGAACGUUAUUCGGAAUCACUUGGGCUUAAAGGGCGCGUAGGCGGGCGAUCAAGUCAGGGGUGAAAGCCCCCAGCUCAACUGGGGAAGUGCCUCUGAUACUGGUCGCCUCGAGGGAGGUAGGGGCGUGCGGAACUUCCGGUGGAGCGGUGAAAUGCGUAGAUAUCGGAAGGAACAUCGGUGGCGAAAGCGGCGCGCUGGACCUCUUCUGACGCUGAGGCGCGAAAGCCAGGGGAGCGAACGGG